CAGUACCCGACCAGUCCACCAGAGGACACUAAGUAAGAGAGCAGAGAGCGGCCCUACUGAAUGAAGAGUCAGAAGUCAGCAGAAAGUGAGCUGGAGACCAAACAGAUAUGGUCGGAUUAUGGCGAAGCUACUUUGAAGCAAGGAGACGAAGGGCGUGCUGAGCUCUGUGAGGAACAGGCAGCCGAUGAAGUAAUCGCCCUGGUCCCUCCUGAAGAACUGAAAGGCAAAGGGAGGGAGACGGCACACAGUUACAACAAUCUAAAACAAGACCACGCACACACAUAGAGAUCCACACACCCACCCAAAAUGGCCCUCGGUACUUUAGGCCUUGUAGGCAAAUUGACUAUCCCUAGGGCUGCACAUACAAAAACAGAAGUCAGGACACAGCUCAAUAACUCCAACAAGGCUACAAACCAACUUGGCCAACAGAGGACAAACCAGGCCCAGGGUCAUGUUCAUCAGGCAACAAACAGAAGAAAAUGGACUGAAACUGGGAGGAACUACCUGGACUUUUCCAAUAAGAAACACUCAUAUUUCGUGGCAAAAGGUUUCCGUUGCAUGCAAUAAUGAACACGACCCAGACUUAUGCCAUAAGUCCAGACGUUAAGGUAAGGGAAUAGAUCACAAUGAGUAAAUUAGUAAAUGUAUGGAGGAGCAGUGAUGGAAGCUGCAGACAGGGAGGAUGCCAAACAGAGGGCUCUGUGUGUGUUAUGUGAUGAUGAAUAAACCAGUAGUGUGUGGGGCCCAGACACCAGUUCUGCCAUCUGCCCAAUGGAAGAAUGAACUGCAGCACAAACUGCUGCCAUGUAACACUACACCUACCUACCCCCUGUACCUGCCUGCUGGACCCAGUGUGUGUGUGUUACCUGACUGUGUGGGAGGGGAACGAAGCAGGGAGUAGGAGAAGGGGAGGAGAAGAGGAUCACAGCAGCUGGAGCCUGAAUAAUGGAGGUGUAGGGUAAGGUGAUCUCAUGUCACCAUUGAAAGCCACUGAAAACUAAAGAUGCCAGGUUUCCAAUGCACUUGGCCUUCUCUCUACAUGAAAUGGACACCAUUUUUUAUUUUACCUUUAUUAAAAACUGUUGCCGGAAAAACAAAUCCCAUUGCAAACUAAUGCUUUUUAUUAAUUGAUGGAAAUACCAGUUGAUGUAAAUGCAUUUGACCUUUCAGGCUUAUCUGUAUAUAGGUUAGUUUGCAUCAUUUAGUGGAAUUACUUUAGACUGUGUAUUUUCGUUAGCCAUCAUGUAUCUUAUUUAACCAACAACUAUCACACGCGCACAGCAUUCAGAGUGGGAUUUCUCCUGCAGCUGGAGUAAAACAUGUGCUUUUAAGAGCCAAUUAAUUGCGCAACAAUUCUAAAUGCAACCACAUGCUGAAAACUGUUUUGGUGCAACAUUUUUCAAAACAGGUAUUAUUUUUUAUUUCUCAAUAGGUAAUUAAAGCUAGACUCCUAUUCAAGUGCAGGCAACAGGCUAUCAGCACGUCACCCACCACUUUACAAUGUGAGCUGGAGGCAGUAUGCAUUUCGAAAACAUAGUUAAUUUUUUUUUAAAUCAGAAUGUUUUAUUUAAUAUUAUGAGGAAUGUCUUACUCUGCUUCAAAGUAACCUAUUGGCAAAAUCUGACCAUGGGAGCUUGGACGCAAUUAUUACUUCAUUGGCAGAGCGUGAGUUUCAAGUUUGGGGAAGCUUAGAAUUUAUCCUACCAUUCUGUGUGCCAGUUAUGCAUUUCUCAAAAUCAUUGUCACGUGGUCAAUCAUAAUGCGAGAUCACCAGCCUCUGCCAUAGGGACACAUUGAUACGUGAUCCAUUGGCGGCUAAAGAAAUGAGAGCAUGGAACAAUGAGAGCAUGGAACUCAUAGCCUCUAGGCCAAUGCAGGCCUAGAACUUCACAUUGAGGAUUAUCGAGAGUGAGAUUGUUGGAAAGAUUUUUCAAAUAGUAUACUUUGAGAAAUUAUAGUUUUAAUAUCAUUCACAUUAGAUGUUAACCCAUACGAGUCUAAGUCCCUGAGGUUCUACUAAGCUAUAUGGAAUUGCUUUAAAAAGGUUAUACCAAGGAUCAUUAAGCUAAUUGAUUUUGAAUUUUAAGACCCCUUGAAGUAUAAAAAAAUAUGAACAAAAAUGAUUAGAUAAAUUAUUUUUGGCCUUACUGUUAUUAGCCCAUACAAAUGCAUUGAAUAACAGAUUCACUACAUGGAACAUUAUAUAGUACAAAAAAAUAUCAAAAAGGUUGUUUUGAAGUGUUUCUUCUAUAUAUAGCUGAGCGAUAUAAGAUCAGGAAACACACACACACACACUUUCCUUCACACAUGUAUUUAACCCCAUUAAGACAAGUCUUCUGACACUUGUGGAGAAAACCAUCAUGUUCGUGAGAAUCUCAUCUUUCCAUAGAGGGAUCAUAUUAGUUGUAAAGGCCAAACUGUUUGGACGCUUCAGACGAUUUUGUAAGGCCGAUUUUCGGGAUGUUUCAUGGUCUGACAAACACCCCUCUAGCUCUGUCACCUUUCACCGCAGAUGCGGAAGUGAAACAUAGAAAAACAGAUCUCUAGCUUAAAUUUACGGAUUCUCAUGGGGAUUUUUGUAUUACGCUAAUUAGAUGUCCACGCUCCCCCAACAUUAUCAGGACAGAGAAAAACAGACAUGCUCAUUGCUCACAUGGAGCAAUCCAAACGAAAGACAAAUCUCGUAAAUGAUGGUUAUGAAAUAAACCAAAGCUUGUUUCUCACAAGUGUAGCAGGUUGUAAACUCCGCAACCAAUGUUUCCACUCCGAGAAUGAGAACAGUAAAUUACUAAUUAAUACAUGCAUUAACAGAAAUUCAUGUAACCAAAUGACGGAGAUGAAAUGGUACAUUUACAACUGCUGACAUAUGUAAAUGAGGAAUUGAUAAAAAAAUAAAAAAGGGCAAACAAUUCACACAACGAAACAAUGAAUGUGAAAGAAUUGGCAGGAGACAGACUCGCCACACACCCCUCCCCUUCUUCUUGUCUCAACAUUUUAAAUUCUACUCAAGACAUUAUCUUCACACUUAUUUUUAGAUGCUUUCCACUGACAGCCGCAACUCAAUAAUCAGUUAGGCCUAUUGACACGAACGCUGCCCAAAUUGCGGCCUAAUGAUCCUCGAUUCUUUCUGGUGAAGUAUUUUGAAUAAUGCAUUUAUUUAUGUAUAGACAGGAGUAAUUAUACACUUCCCUAUUGGACCCACCACUAUGCCAUUUCUCUCCUGUUUUUUUGGUUGUCUUAUCAACUUUCUGUCAUUGUCCA